rnacentral:rRNA from 1 species
AACUUUCAGCAACGGAUCUCUUGGCUCUCGCAUCGAUGAAGAACGCAGCGAAAUGCGAUAAGUAAUGUGAAUUGCAGAAUUCAGUGAAUCAUCGAAUCUUUGAACGCACCUUGCGCUCCUUGGUAUUCCGAGGAGCAUGCC